GACGAACGCUGGCGGCGUGCUUAACACAUGCAAGUCGAACGGUGAAGCUCCAGCUUGCUGGAGUGGAUCAGUGGCGAACGGGUGAGUAACACGUGAGCAACCUGCCCCUGACUCUGGAAUAAGCGCUGGAAACGGCGUCUAAUACUGGAUACGAGAAGGGUCCGCAUGGGCACUUUCUGGAAAGUUUUUCGGUUGGGGAUGGGCUCGCGGCCUAUCAGCUUGUUGGUGAGGUAAUGGCUCGCCAAGGCGACGACGGGUAGCCGGCCUGAGAGGGCGACCGGCCACACUGGGACUGAGACACGGCCCAGACUCCUACGGGAGGCAGCAGUGGGGAAUAUUGCACAAUGGGCGAAAGCCUGAUGCAGCGACGCCGCGUGAGGGAUGACGGCCUUCGGGUUGUAAACCUCUUUCAGCAGGGAAGAAGCGAAAGUGACGGUACCUGCAGAAGAAGCACCGGCUAACUACGUG
rnacentral:rRNA from 1 species